UCACCCUUUCAUUGCCGCCCUCUUCAUCCUUGCCAUGGGCCCUCCCUUGGGCAUAACCCUUAUUGGUGUGAGGUGUCACACCAGCACCUCUCCUCCUCAUUUGGUUGGGUUGCAAAGGUAAUUUGAUCAGAGUUCAUACUGCUUUCCAACAUUGUCUGGCGUGCAUGCAAAGUAAAGGGUCUACACUUUCAGGCCUCUGUAAAAAUUGAUUUUAGAUUUUUGAAGAUUUGAUCACUAG
rnacentral:lncRNA from 1 species